AUGUUAUAUGAAAGGAGAAGUUAACACUCCCCUUGAUAAAAGAUGGAAGAGGUUCUAGUAGCCUUUACAACACAUAUACAGUUAAAGCAUUGCCACCUACUCUGUGGCAUCUAAUCAUCAGACCAU